rnacentral:rRNA from 1 species
UACGUAGGGUGCAAGCGUUAUCCGGAAUUAUUGGGCGUAAAGAGCUCGUAGGCGGUUUGUCGCGUCUGCUGUGAAAACUGGAGGCUCAACCUCCAGCCUGCAGUGGGUACGGGCAGACUAGAGUGCGGUAGGGGAGAUUGGAAUUCCUGGUGUAGCGGUGGAAUGCGCAGAUAUCAGGAGGAACACCAAUAGCGAAGGCAGCUCGCUGGGACGGUACUGACGCUAAGGCGCGAAAGCGUGGGGAGCGAACAGG